rnacentral:lncRNA from 1 species
GGUGCCUCUAGGACCAAAAGCGGAAGGAAAGGCGUUUACCUUGCCUCGGAUCGGCGUUGAUUGUCACCCGGGAGGACCAAUAGGAGGCCCGGUCUGCCUUUCCCACUAUCGGCCACGCCUUCUGCUUUGAAAAUCCUUGCUUCGCCCCUCAGGCCCCGCCUACUGAGGCGGCGGCGUGGUCUUGGACGGAGUCGAGGGCCUCGCUACACGGGGCGAGGUGGGCCGGGCCUGGUGGAGCAAGCUAGUUGAGGCCGCGGCCGCGUCCUCGUCCCCUCCGGGGGCGGCUCGGCCUCGCGGAGGCGCGUCUAUCCCGGCGGGCCCUCGGCCUCACCGGAUGACCGCCUGAGGGCCGUAAGAGACUUUUUGCAGACGGGGAAUCUGAGGCAGGCCUUUGCGCCCUGUGUUUCCUCACCUGUAAAACGAGGGGGUCGGAUUGGUCGCCCAGUGUAGGAUCGAGGCCCGACUCUUCCAUCAGGCCACACCGGGAGCGAGGGAGCGAGCCGGGCUGCUCCCGUUUUAUGGAUGGGGGAGCGGAGUGGUGGUGCUGGGGCCGCAGACUCUGGCUUGCCGUUUCUGGUCUCGAGUCCCAAGAAGGCGCCCCUUCCUUCAGCUGCGUGGCAGCUUUCUAGCUGCUUAGACAACGCGUGUGGGUUGAAAGACUCGAACUCUUCCUCUCAGUCUUUCCUUCCUGCCUCAGACAAGCCUUGAUCGCCAGUGACUUCAGUGUGGAGCCUGAGCUGAUGCACAAAACGCCAUCUCAGAGGGACCGCUGGAGGAAGAAACAGUUUUCCUCCAUGCAGGAUGAGAACAAGCACCCAACCAGGAAAAGGUUGUCCCGCCGUGAGAAACUAAGGAGCCGUCGACACAACCACCAGCUACUUCGGAGUAAAGAUAAGCCGGAGAAGUUGGUUCUGGUGGCAGCUGACAAUAGCUCCGUCCCUCGUGGUACUUGAACCCAAGCAGGAGCAGCCUCCUCGCCCCCUGAAUCACCCACGGUGCUCCCCAAAAUGCCUGUGAACCUGGCAGCAGUGGAUGGGCUUGUGCCCAUUAUAUAGAUCAGCGUCAGCAAGAAGCAGAGUGCUGAAAAUUACCUGGUGGCAAAUAAGACCAAGACAGCUGUCCUCAGCU